AUUGAACGCUAGCGGGAUGCCUUACACAUGCAAGUCGAACGGAGUGGCGAACGGGUAAGUAAUGUAUCGUAACGUGCCCAUUAGCGGGGGAUAACUACGCGAAAGCGUAGCUAAUACCGCAUACUAUUGGAGCGGCCUAUAGCGGAGUAGCUAGUUGGUGGGGUAACGGCUCACCAAGGCGACGAUCCGUAGCUGGUGUGAGAGGACGACCCGCCACACUGGGACUGAGACACGGCCCAGACUCCUACGGGAGGCAGCAGUGGGGAAUUUUGGACAAUGGGCGAAACCCUGAUGCAGCCAUGCCGCGUGUGCGAGGAAGGCCUUAGGGUUGUAAAGCACUUUUGGCAGGAAAGCGGUACCUGCAGAAUAAGCACCGGCUAACUACGUGCCAGCAGCCGCGGUAAUUC
rnacentral:rRNA from 1 species